CCUGGCUCCAUGAGCAAAAGAGUCCCAUUGACUCCCAUGUUAAAUAGCCCGACUUUAGAGCAGAAUUAAACCUGUUUACAGCCUGGUUCAAAAAUUGGUUUUAGUCGCGAGUUUAUUCCUUCAAGAUAACUCUGAGGGGGGCGAAUUUUUUUCUAACUCCCUCGUUUAACUUAUAUAGAAGUUUGGAAUUCACGUGACGUCACAGUAAGCUUGCCGCCUGCCACUCCUAGCCUGGUGUCUGCUCGGCUCUACUGGAGCUAACAGGCUAAUCGUUGUUAGAGUGAACACAGCCUGAGACCAUGGAGAGGCUUCCACCCACACAUCGGAUGAGUAACACGGUUUGAAGAGCUGCUGGUUCUCCUGACGGAACAACUAGAGGCGUCUGCGCUCCCGUUUCUGUGGUAUGGACCGAUGGACGAGCCUGAAGGACACAGCUGUGCUGACCGUGUUCUGUCUCUUAUGGCAAAGAAGAAAUAAAACACUGGGCUCUUAUCUAAAGUGUAUCAAAUCAGAAAGCAAAAGAUAAACAUUGUUCUAAUAAGUGUUCAUUUUUUUAUCCAACCAUUAUGAAUAUAGAAAUGAACUCCAUUAUCCAUGACACUUAGCAAUGAGCCAACUCUAAACUGGUGCAGGCCAUCUUUAGUUAAGGGAGGAAAACAUGAAGCUGGUGCAGGUCAUCCUCAUGUUAACCAGCCUGAAGCUGCAGAUCUCCACCAUCUUGCUGCUGCCACAGUAAAAGCUGAGGACAUCAGGGGCUGCAGUGCUGGGUUUGUACCCUGAUGGUUAAAUGCACAUAUUGUAAGUCGCUUUGGAUAAAAGUACUGAAAGAAAUAAAACAUUUUACAAACAGAUUAAA